AAUAAUGCAAUUGGUCCCAUAAUUUUUGGACCAAUAAUGAAAGAGAUAUGAAUUUUAGAAAAUGAAAUGGAAUUAAAACAAAUAAAAGAAAAUAGAAAUAAAAAAUUAAAAAUUAGAAAAAAGGAGAGGCGUUGGAUGAUGGCUUAUUAAUUGAGCUGGCACAUCACACGACCUUUGAGCGCGCUUCCACCAAGGUCCUUAGUCAACUGAAUCACAUGGCGCAUUAUUGAAAGUCAUAAUAAUGUGUGGAUGAGAUUAGAUCUGGAAACUGAGAUGGACGGCUCAGAUCCAAUCUGGAGACCAGACGGUGGCCAGCGCUACCGUCUUCUCCGGCUAGCUCCGGCGAAGGCCAAAAAUUACAGAGAUACAAAUGUGCACCAAAAACCCACGAUCUAGGUACCGUUCAAAAGGUGAAAUGAUGUACAUCACUCCUAUGCCACCCAAUUCCACUCUAGAUCCCUAUUGGGAGAGAAAUCAGAGAUGGAACUUUGGUGGUGUUCAACUGAACUUGCUUGAUUUCAAUAAUUAAGAACACAACAAUGAUGCCUCUAUGCAGAGGACUUCAGAUCACACAAAAUCAAGGCAAAUGGAACAAUAUAUAGGUUGUUUCGAAGCAAAAUGCAGUUGAGCAAAACCUUGGAAUUAAGAUGAAUUGAGUCACUAUCUUUGAUUCCUUUUGCAAAUAGAAGCUUCUAUGGAUCAAAGUGAAGAGGUCUAGGAAGUUUAGAUCUGAAAUUUCAAUCGAGGAAACCAAAAUUCAGAUCUGAAUUUUUUAGAGAAAAUUGAGAUUUGUUUCUUUUGGUAGGGGUGUGGAUUCAAUUCAGCAGAGGUUUAGGCGCCAUUAGGUUUAGAAAUGAGAGCUCAUAUGCCAUGUAUUUAUAGCCAAACCCAUGCUGAAAGUGUGAUUUCAAAUUUGCAUGAAUGGAAAGGGCCUCCAUGCAUGGGCCUGUACAGGCGCAUGGAGGGCCCAAUUCCACUUGAUUUGGCAAGCUGAGAUCAUAGAUGAAUGAAAUGGACGUGCAACAUAGAUGUAAU
rnacentral:lncRNA from 1 species